rnacentral:rRNA from 1 species
UACGGAGGUUCCAAGCGUUGUUCGGAUUUACUGGGCGUAAAGGGAGCGCAGGCGGAUGGGUGUGUCUAAAGUGGAAGCCCGGGGCUUAACCUCGGAACGCCUUUGGAUACUGCCCGUCUUGAGUACGUGAGAGGAAGGCGGAAUUCAGGGUGUAGCGGUGAAAUGCUUAGAUAUCCUGAGGAACACCAAUGGCGAAAGCAGCCUUCUGGCACGAUACUGACGCUGAGGCUCGAAAGCGUGGGGAGCGAACGGG